AGGGGUUUAGGAUAAUAUUAAACCAAGAACCUUCAAAGCUCUAAAUAGAAGUGAGAAUCUUCUAACCCCUG
rnacentral:tRNA from 1 species